rnacentral:rRNA from 1 species
UACGUAGGGUGCAAGCGUUGUCCGGAAUUAUUGGGCGUAAAGCGUGCGUAGACGGUCAUGUAAGUCGGGUGUGAAAGCCCCGGGCUCAACCUGGGAACUGCAUUUGUGACUGCAUCGCUGGAGUGCGGCAGAGGGGGGAUGGAAUUCCGCGUGUAGCAGUGAAAUGCGUAGAUAUGCGGAGGAACACCGAUGGCGAAGGCAAUCCCCUGGGCCUGCACUGACGCUCAUGCACGAAAGCGUGGGGAGCAAACAGG